rnacentral:rRNA from 1 species
AGAGUUUGAUCAUGGCUCAGAGUGAACGCUGGCGGCGUGGAUUAGGCAUGCAAGUCGAGCGAUCCUUAGGAAGCGAGAAGGCCGACCGUAAGGAAGGCCGACAAGUGAACUAAGGAUAGCGGCAGACGGGUGCGUAACGCGUGAGUAAUUUACCCUUAAACCGGGGAUAGCUUUGCGAAAGCAAGGGUAAUACCCGAUGUGUUCAUUUUCGCGCAAGCGGAGAUGAGUAAAGUCGGCCGUAAGGUUGAUGUUUAAGGAUUAGCUCGCGUCCUAUCAGCUAGUUGGUAGGGUAAUGGCCUACCAAGGCUUUUGACGGGUAGCUGGCCUGAGAGGGUGGUCAGCCACACGGGGACUGAGAUACUGCCCCGACUCCUACGGGAGGCUGCAGUCGAGGAUCUUUAGCAAUGGGCGAAAGCCUGACUAUGCGACGCCGCGUGAGGGAUGAAGGUUUUCGGAUCGUAAACCUCUUUCAAUGGGAAAGAAACUUCCGAUUAACUGUCGGAACUGACGGUACCCAGAGAAGAAGCCACGGCCAACUCCGUGCCAGCAGCCGCGGUAAUACGGAGGUGGCGAGCGUUACUCGGAUUCAUUGGGUGUAAAGGGCAGGUAGGUGUCCCUGCAAGUUUUGGGUGAAAUCCUGUGGCUCAACCACAGAACUGCCUAAAAAACUGCAGGGAUUGAGGCUGGAAGAGGAGAGUGGAAUUCCCGGUGUAAGGGUGAAAUCUGUAGAUAUCGGGAGGAACGCCAGUGGCGAAAGCGGCUCUCUGGUCUGGCCCUGACGCUGAACUGCGAAAGCUAGGGUAGCAAACAGGAUUAGAUACCCUAGUAGUCC